AUGCCUCAGUACGGCGAGUGAAGCGGCAAAAGCUCAAAUUUGAAAUCUGCGUAAGCCGAGUUGUAAUUUGAAGAUGGCUACUUUGGUAAUGGCUCUUGUCUAUGUUCCUUGGAACAGGACGUCACAGAGGGUGAGAAUCCCGUGCGAUGAGAUGUCCAUUACCGUGUAAAGUGCUUUCGAAGAGUCGAGUUGUUUGGGAAUGCAGCUCUAAGUGGGUGGUAAAUUCCAUCUAAAGCUAAAUAUUGGCGAGAGACCGAUAGCGAACAAGUACAGUGAUGGAAAGAUGAAAAGAACUUUGAAAAGAGAGUGAAAAAGUACGUGAAAUUGUUGAAAGGGAAGGGCUUGAGAUCAGACUUGGUAUUUUGUAUGGCUUGCUUUCGGGCGGGUCCUCUGCAGUUUACUGGGCCAGCAUCGGUUUGGGUGGCAGGAUAAUAGCAUAGGAAUGUGGCUCUACUUCGGUGGAGUGUUAUAGCCUUUGUUGAUACUGCCUGCCUAGACCGAGGACUGCGUCUUUUGACUAGGAUGCUGGCAUAAUGAUCCUAAGCCGCCCGUCUUGAAACCACGGACCA
rnacentral:rRNA from 1 species